UAUAGGUCUUUGAUUACUUGCACGCAAGCCAAGGUUGUCUGCCUGUGGACAAAUUUUAAUGAUUAUUUAAACACAUAUUUGCAGAAUAUUUAAAAAGUCUCUGUAUUAAGAAAUAAUUAAAUUCGUAAUGUUUAUUGUACACAUUUAUUUCAGAAAAUAAAAUAUUCACCACCACCUGGUUUGCCAACAUCGUCUUUAUAAGGAAUGUCCAGCAGUGCAUGACAGAGGCCGGUCACUCCCAUUAAGUCCAGCUGAAGAGCCUUCCCAGUUCAUAGGACAAAAUGUAGUUACACAGAUUUUAACGGUGUUGGAAACAAUGAGAGACGAGAACAGGGAAAUGAAGUGGAUGCUGCAGCGGCUCUUGGCUAGGUCAGCUACUGAUGACGAGCCAAUGCAACUGCCAGAGAACAUCAGUCUUCCAAUUGGAACAUUUGAGCAAAUGGAUGAGUUUGAAGAGCAUCUUGGUGAUGAAGCUACGAUCCAUCUUUUCUAGGACUGCUGCAUAGUUCAAGCUUUUUUAUCAAAUAUAUUAAGCAAUGUUGUAAAUGUAUUUGACAGUUCUUUCUCCAUUGAUCCUAAACCAUUCCAGGGGUGGCGAAAUCAAAUGUCCGAGUUGCCCGAGUCGUACAUUUGCUUGUCUGGGCAACUGAUUUUUUUCAAUUAAGUUGUCCGUGGACAACAAGUUUUUUUAAAGUCUGGUCCAGGUAUACAAAAACAAUACACUGUAUUAAAGCCGUAAUUAAGUUUUAAAAAACCGGAUGUUGACACGCGAUAACAUUGUCAGUGCUAUUUGCGGAGCGAUCAAGCUAAAAUACGGGCACUCUCCUGCGCAGUGAUCUCCCUUAUUCUAUAAGAGACCGGGAGCAUGCUGUAUUUUCAACAUUCGGCCUGACUGUUAGACAGUGUACAGACUGGUCUCUUUAUAUUUACAAUCAGACGGAAAUCAAAAGUAUCAAACUAAGAUAAUCAAAACACGGUCUACCUUGUUAUUUGAGACGACUUUAAUGGUAAAGAUGGAACAUUUUGUUUGUUUUUAAUCUUCAACAACAGAGCAGAAACACGAAGCUUUGAGCAGUCCACCUCCCAUAAAUACUAAGAAAGAUUAUGAUACAAAAUAUGAUCUAAGUAAACGCACCAGAACUUUAAAAAAAACUUGGCUAACAGAUUUUCAAUGGUUACCAGUUGAUGAUAAUCAAAUUGCUACCAGUAGCGUUGCAGAGCCUCAGUCUGAUGAGGUCGACAUAUUGGACUAGUUUAAUUUGUUAAGAUUACCAUGUACUUUUGUUCAACACAUGUUUUAAUAGCACUAGCUUUGCAAGAUUAAAAGUUUGAUAAAGUCUUUAUAUUGUUUAUAAUAUACUGCUAUAAUGAAUGUACCAUUGAAAUACAACUAUAAACAAAACAAGCAAAUCAUACUCAUUUUGAUAUAUUCCACAUUAUUUUACAUUAAUCAAUAAAUGCGUUUAUAAUUUAAAUAAACAUUAACGGACAAGUAUAGUUCAGCAACGGACAAGUUAAAUUUCCUAAAUGGUUGUCCGUGGACAAGUAUAGUUUUUUUAGAUUUCGCCAACCCUGCAUUCCUUUAAGGCUCAUCUUCUAAGAAAGCAUACAAUCUUUUUUAUCUGGAAAUGAAAUGGUAUAUAUUCCUUUGCAAAAGAAGAAACAGCAUUCCAGUUUUUGAAGGUUUUAAAAGACAUAUAUAUAUAUCAUGUGCAAUUAUGAAAUACACUAGAAUGUAUGAAGAUAUCAAAGAUAAUAAUAUGGACUUAAUCUUGAACAAGGAUUUGCCAUUUAUUUGAGUUUUGGAUUUUUUUGCAGGGUUUUUAAUUUCUAGUUUUUAUUUAAUGCUUUCCGGUGGUUUAUAGAGAAAUAUCAGUGAAUUAAAACUGGUUCAAACAGUGAAAAUUAUCAGUGAGAAUUAUCGAUAAUUUUCAUUGUUUACUGUGAAAUGAUGUCAUUUUUUGACGAAAUGACGUCAUUAUCCCAGCAAAAUUCUUUAGUUAAACUCUUUAACAAUGUAUAUAAACGGUGAAAAAUGCAUUAAAUAAAAAGAAAAUUUGUUGGAUUCGGUGGAUUAUCGAUUUUAAUUAACUCGUGUUCAUAGAGAAUAUAUAUUUUCUAUGAUCACUCGUGAAUUAAAAUCGAUAAUCCACCGGAUCCAACAAAUAUCCUCUAUAUAAAAUAUUUUGUUUAGUCUUGCAAGUAUGUUUUCUACAAAUGUUCUUUGAGUACAUGGUGUAUUAUUUGUAUUUAUUUUAUACUUUCCGGUGGUUUAUAGAGAAAUAUCAGUGAAUUAAAACUGAUAAUUUCACUGUUUCAAACAAUGAAAAUUAUCAGUGAAAAUUAUCGAUAAUUUUCACUGUUUAUGUUAAAUGACGUCAUUUUUUGGACGAAAUGACGUCAUUUUCCCAACGUAAUUCUUUAGUUAAACUCUUUAACAAUGUAUAUAAACUGUGAAAUAAAGCAUAAAAUAAAAAGAAAAUUUGUUGGGUUCGGUGGAUUAUCGAUUUUAAUUCACUCGUGAUCAUAUAAAAUGUAUAUUUUCACUCGUGGCUGCGCCACUCGUGAAAAUAUUAUUUUCUAUGAUCACUCGUGAAUUAAAAUCGAUAAUCCAUCGAAUCCAACAAAUAUCCUCUAUUGGUUAGAGAUUUUAUAUGCAAGGGUAUGCUUUUGAGUAAUGUGUAGUACAUCAGGAAAAUACUUGAAGGUAUUUUGUAUAUGUAAUAUAUAUUUAUUAUCAAAAUAAUAGAAGUCCUUAAUUCUAUAGUUGUGUAACUGGUCAACAUAUAUAAUGUUAUAGAAAAACGUCUUAUUGUUUCAAGUUAUGUCUUUAUUGUUCCAUGAAAUAGUUUUACUGUUGGUUUGGGUUUAUAGAUUAUGAGUUUCAUUACUCCUUGCAGAUAGAACAUUAGAUAGAAACAUGUGUUUGUAAGCAACUUCAUGUAAAAGCGGAUAGAACAUUAGAUAGAAACAUGUUUUCGUUAGCAACUUCAUGUAAAAUAUUUUUGCUGAUGUUACAUUCAAAAAGUUAGGAAUCACCAUAUUAUUUUAGAAUUCUCUGGUAGAAUAGUUAACUUGGGAUCCUCCUGCUAUGUAUGUAUGUAUCCAUGUAUAUGUGUGUAAUACUUUAUGUGAAUAAAAGUUGAGAGUA